AAACAAUGUAGCAAUACAUUGUUUGUUCAGCGGCGAACGGGUGCGUAACACGUGGGCAACCUGCCCGGAAAUGGGGGAUAGCCCGCCGAAAGGCGGAUUAAUACCGCAUGUGGCCAUUGGAGACAUCUCCGAGACGCCAAAGUCGGGGCAACCUGACGUUUCCGGAUGGGCCCGCGGCCUAUCAGCUAGUUGGUGAGGUAACGGCUCACCAAGGCUAUGACGGGUAGCUGGUCUGAGAGGACGACCAGCCACACUGGAACUGAGACACGGUCCAGACACCUACGGGUGGCAGCAGUCGAGAAUUUUUCUCAAUGGGGGAAACCCUGAAGGAGCGACGCCGCGUGGAGGAUGAAGGUCUUCGGAUUGUAAACUCCUGUCAUUAGAGAACAAGACCCACUUAGUAACUGAUGCUGGGUUCGAUAGUAUCUGAAGAGGAAGAGACGGCUAACUCUGUGCCAGCAGCCGCGGUAAUACAGAGGUCUCAAGCGUUGUUCGGAUUCAUUGGGCGUAAAGGGUGCGCAGGCGGCGGGGCAAGUCGGACGUGAAAUCUCGGGGCUUAACCCCGAAACUGCGUUCGAUACUGCCCUGCUUGAGGACUGGAGAGGAGACUGGAAUUCCUGGUGUAGCAGUGAAAUGCGUAGAUAUCAGGAGGAACGCCAAUGGCGAAGGCAAGUCUCUGGACAGUUCCUGACGCUCAUGCACGAAGGCCAGGGGGGCAAACGGGAUUAGAUACCCCGGUAGUCCUGGCAGUAAACGGUGCACGUUUGGUGUGGGAGGAUUCGACCCCUUCCGUGCCGUAGCUAACGCGUUAAACGUG
rnacentral:rRNA from 1 species